rnacentral:rRNA from 1 species
GACGAACGCUGGCGGCGUGCUUAACACAUGCAAGUCGAACGGAAAGGCCCUGCUUGCAGGGCGCUCGAGUGGCGAACGGGUGAGUAACACGUGGGUGAUCUGCCCCUUAUUUUGGGAUAAGCCUGGGAAACUGGGUCUAAUACUGGAUAGGACCAUGCUGUAGGUGGUGUGGUGGAAAGAUUAGUUUCGGUAAGGGAUGAGCUCGCGGCCUAUCAGCUUGUUGGUGGGGUAAUGGCCUACCAAGGCGUCGACGGGUAGCCGGCCUGAGAGGGUGGACGGCCACAUUGGGACUGAGAUACGGCCCAGACUCCUACGGGAGGCAGCAGUGGGGAAUAUUGCACAAUGGGCGCAAGCCUGAUGCAGCGACGCCGCGUGGGGGAUGACGGCCUUCGGGUUGUAAACUCCUUUCAGCCAUGACGAAGCCCUUGUGGUGACGGUAGUGGUAGAAGAAGCACCGGCUAACUACGUG